GCUUUUUGAUCCAGACAGUAGAGCAUGAGUCUCUUAAUCUCAGGGUCGUGGGUUCAAGCCCCACAUUGGGCA